UACGUAGGCAGCAAGCGUUGUUCGGAAUUACUGGGCGUAAAGAGUGUGUAGGCGGUGCUCUAAGUUCGGUGUGAAAUCUCCCGGCUCAACUGGGAGGGUGCGCCGGAAACUGGAAUGCUUGAGCGUGGGAGAGGAAAGCGGAAUUCCUGGUGUAGCGGUGAAAUGCGUAGAUAUCAGGAGGAACACCUGCGGUGUAGACGGCUUUCUGGACCAUUGCUGACGCUGAGACACGAAAGCGUGGGGAGCGAACAGG
rnacentral:rRNA from 1 species